rnacentral:rRNA from 1 species
UGGGGAAUUUUGGACAAUGGGCGCAAGCCUGAUCCAGCGAUGCCGCGUGCAGGAUGAAGGCCUUCGGGUUGUAAACUGCUUUUGUACGGAGCGAAAAGGUCUGCCCUAAUACGGUGGGCUCAUGACGGUACCGUAAGAAUAAGCACCGGCUAACUACGUGCCAGCAGCCGCGGUAAUACGUAGGGUGCGAGCGUUAAUCGGAAUUACUGGUCGUAAAGCGUGCGCAGGCGGUUAUAUAAGACAGAUGUGAAAUCCCCGGGCUCAACCUGGGAACUGCAUUUGUGACUGUAGAGCUAGAGUACGGCAGAGGAGGAUGGAAUUCCGCGUGUAGCAGUGAAAUGCGUAGAGAUGUGGAGGAACACCGAUGGCGAAGGCAGCCCCCUGGGCCGAUACUGACGCUCAUGCACGAAAGCGUGGGUAGCAAACA